rnacentral:lncRNA from 1 species
CCAUCUGAUCGAAACUCAUGAUAGAGGGAUUGUAUCAUAUACUAACUGUAUCUAGAGGUUCAUCUUUUAUUCUGCUGAGUUGCUACUACAUACUGCUAGAUGUCACUAGUGGAUUGUGAGACUUAUGAGGAUCAUCUUAAUGAUCAAUGAUCCUUGGUGGGCUGAGUUGGAAUUAUUCCAACCCAUUGAAAAGAGUUUUAAUGAUAUUAUGAUAGAAA